rnacentral:RNase_P_RNA from 1 species
CGAGUCGGUCAGGCGGUCGCGUCACCCAGGGAUUUCCGGCUCACGCCGGGUAUGCCGGGUGCCGAGGAACGUCCGGACUCCGAAGGGCAGGGUGGUGGCUAACGGCCACCCGGAGCGAUCCGCGGGACAGUGCCACAGAAAACAGACCGCCUCAUCCGAACCGCUGGGAUGCCCAGUAGGCGGAUGAGGUCAGGGUGAAAAGGUGGUGUAAGAGACCACCAGCGGCUUGGGUGACCAGGUCGGCUCGGUAAACCCCACCCGGAGCAAGCUCAGACAGCAGGCGUUCGAGGGCGGCCCGCCCGAUGCCUGCGGGUAGAGCGCUAGAGCCGGCCAGCAAUGGCCGGCCGAGAUGGAUGACCGCCACCGCGGUGCCGGCAACGGCGUCGCGGGACAGAAUCCGGCGUACCGACCGACUCGUCCA